rnacentral:rRNA from 1 species
UAGGGAAUCUUCGGCAAUGGACGAAAGUCUGACCGAGCAACGCCGCGUGAGUGAAGAAGGCUUUCGGAUCGUAAAACUCUGUUGUUAGAGAAGAACAAGGACGUUAGUAACUGAACGUCCCCUGACGGUAUCUAACCAGAAAGCCACGGCUAACUACGUGCCAGCAGCCGCGGUAAUACGGAGGUGGCAAGCGUUGUCCGGAUUUAUUGGGCGUAAAGCGAGCGAAGGCGGUUUGUUAAGUCUGAUGUGAAAGCCCCCGGCUCAACCCGGGAGGGUCAUUGGAAACUGGGAGACUUGAGGGCAGAAGAGGAGAGUGGAAUUCCAUGUGUAGCGGUGAAAUGCGUAGAUAUAUGGAGGAACACCAGUGGCGAAGGCGGCUCUCUGGUCUGUAACUGACGCUGAGGCUCGAAAGCGUGGGGAGCAAACAGG